rnacentral:rRNA from 1 species
UGAGGAAUAUUGGUCAAUGGGCGAGAGCCUGAACCAGCCAAGUAGCGUGAAGGAUGAAGGCUCUACGGGUCGUAAACUUCUUUUAUAUAAGAAUAAAGUGCAGUAUGUAUACUGUUUUGUAUGUAUUAUAUGAAUAAGGAUCGGCUAACUCCGUGCCAGCAGCCGCGGUAAUACGGAGGAUCCGAGCGUUGUCCGGAUUUAUUGGGUUUAAAGGGAGCGUAGGUGGACUGGUAAGUCAGUUGUGAAAGUUUGCGGCUCAACCGUAAAAUUGCAGUUGAUACUGUCAGUCUUGAGUACAGUAGAGGUGGGCGGAAUUCGUGGUGUAGCGGUGAAAUGCUUAGAUAUCACGAAGAACUCCGAUUGCGAAGGCAGCUCACUGGACUGCAACUGACACUGAUGCUCGAAAGUGUGGGUAUCAAACA